UUUUAAAUGGCCGCAGUAUUUUGACUGUGCAAAGGUAGCAUAAUCAUUAGUUUUUUAAUUAAAAGCUUGUAUGAAAGGCUGGACGAGGUAAAAUCUGUCUCUAUUUAAAUUAUAGUAGAAUUUAACUUUUAAGUUAAAAGGCUUAAAUGUUAUUAAAAGACGAGAAGACCCUAUAGAUCUUUAUAAUUUAUUAAAUUAAAUUAAUUUAGAAAUAUUAAUGUUUUAUUUAAUUAAGUUAUUUUAUUGGGGUAAUAAAAAGAUUGAAUUAAUUCUUUUUUAUAAUAAACAUUAAUUUAUGAAUAUUAAUGAUCCAGUUUUACUGAUUAUAAGAUUAAGUUACCUUAGGGAUAACAGCGUAAUUUUUUUAGAGAGUUCAUAUCGAUAAAAAAGUUUGCGACCUCGAUGUUGGAUUAAAGAUUAUUUUAGGUGUAGAAGCUUAAUAAUUUUGGUCUGUUCGACCAUUAAAUCUUUACAUGAUCUGAGUUCAGACCGGCGUAAGCCAGGUCGGUUUCUAUCUUUAAUAAAAUAAAAUAUUUUAGUACGAAAGGACCAAAUAUUUAAUAUAUUUAUAUUUAAUUUAUUGAAUAUUA
rnacentral:rRNA from 4 species